rnacentral:rRNA from 1 species
CGGGUGAGUAACGCGUGGGCAACCUGCCCCAUACAGGGGGAUAACAGCCGGAAACGGCUGCUAAUACCGCAUAAGCGCACAGCGCCGCAUGGCGCAGUGUGAAAAACUCCGGUGGUAUGGGAUGGGCCCGCGUCUGAUUAGCCAGUUGGCGGGGUAACGGCCCACCAAAGCAACGAUCAGUAGCCGGCCUGAGAGGGUGGACGGCCACAUUGGGACUGAGAGACGGCCCAGACUCCUACGGAAGGCAGCAG